rnacentral:rRNA from 1 species
AAUCAACGCUGGCGGCGUGCCUCAGACAUGCAAGUCGAACGAUUAAAGCUCUCUUCGGAGAGUGUAUAGAGUGGCGCACGGGUGAGUAACACGUAAGUAAUCUACCUUCGAGUGGGGAAUAACAUCGGGAAACCGAUGCUAAUACCGCAUAAUGCAGCGGCAUCGCAAGAUGACAGUUGUUAAAGGAGCAAUUCGCUUGAAGAGGAGCUUGCGGCAGAUUAGCUAGUUGGUAAGGUAAUGGCUUACCAAGGCUACGAUCUGUAACCGGUCUAAGAGGACGGUCGGUCACACUGACACUGAAUAACGGGUCAGACUCCUACGGGAGGCAGCAGUCGGGAAUUUUGGGCAAUGGGCGAAAGCCUGACCCAGCAACGCCGCGUGAAGGAUGAAGUAUUUCGGUAUGUAAACUUCGAAAGAAUAGGAAGAAUAAAUGACGGUACUAUUUAUAAGGUCCGGCUAACUACGUGCCAG